AAGUCGAACGGUAACAGGUCUUCGGAUGCUGACGAGUGGCGAACGGGUGAGUAAUACAUCGGAACGUGCCUAGUAGUGGGGGAUAACUACUCGAAAGAGUAGCUAAUACCGCAUGAGAUCUACGGAUGAAAGCAGGGGACCUUCGGGCCUUGUGCUACUAGAGCGGCUGAUGGCAGAUUAGGUAGUUGGUGGGGUAAAGGCUUACCAAGCCUGCGAUCUGUAGCUGGUCUGAGAGGGCGACCAGCCACACUGGGACUGAGACACGGCCCAGACUCCUACGGGAGGCAGCAGUGGGGAAUUUUGGACAAUGGGCGAAAGCCUGAUCCAGCAAUGCCGCGUGCAGGAUGAAGGCCCUCGGGUUGUAAACUGCUUUUGUACGGAACGAAAAGCCUGGGGCUAAUAUCCCCGGGUCAUGACGGUACCGUAAGAAUAAGCACCGGCUAACUACGUGCCAGCAGCCGCGGUAAUACGUAGGGUGCAAGCGUUAAUCGGAAUUACUGGGCGUAAAGCGUGCGCAGGCGGUUUUGUAAGACAGUGGUGAAAUCCCCGGGCUCAACCUGGGAACUGCCAUUGUGACUGCAAGGCUAGAGUGCGGCAGAGGGGGAUGGAAUUCCGCGUGUAGCAGUGAAAUGCGUAGAUAUGCGGAGGACACCGAUGGCGAAGGCAAUCCCCUGGGCCUGCACUGACGCUCAUGCACGA
rnacentral:rRNA from 1 species